rnacentral:rRNA from 1 species
ACACCGGCAGCUCAAGUGGUGGCCGCUUUUAUUGGGCCUAAAGCGUUCGUAGCCGGCCUGAUAAGUCUCUGGUGAAAUCCCGCAGCUUAACUGUGGGAAUUGCUGGAGAUACUAUCAGGCUUGAGGCCGGGAGAGGCUGGAGGAACUCCCAGGGUAGGGGUGAAAUCCUAUAAUCCUGGGAGGACCACCUGUGGCGAAGGCGUCCAGCUGGAACGGACCUGACGGUGAGUAACGAAAGCCAGGGGCGCGAACCGGAUUAGAUACCCGGGUAGUCCUGGCCGUAAACGAUGUGGACUUGGUGUUGGAAUGGCUCCGAGCUGCUCCAGUGCCGAAGGGAAGCUGUUAAGUCCACCGCCUGGGAAGUACGGUCGCAAGACUGAA